rnacentral:rRNA from 1 species
AUUCCAGCUCCAAUAGCGUAUAUUAAAGUUGUUGCGGUUAAAAAGCUCGUAGUUGGAUUUCUGUCGAAGACCGUCGGUCCGCUCUAUGAGCGUGUAUCUGAUUGGGCUUUGGCAUCCUCAUGAGAGACGUUACUGUGCUUGAUUGCAUGGUGCGGAUUUCAUGACUUUUACUUUGAGGAAAUUAGAGUGUUCACGGCAGGCAUGCGCCUUGAAUACAUUAGCAUGGAAUAAUAAUAUAGGAUCGAGAUUCUAUUUUGUUGGUUUCUAGAAUCACGAUAAUGAUUAAUAGGGAUAAUUGGGGGCAUUUGUAUUAACGCGUCAGAGGUGGAAUUCUUGGAUUGCGUUACGACAAACUACUGCGAAAGCAUUUGCCAAGGAUGUUUUCAUCA